GAUGAACGCUGGCGGCGUGCCUAAUACAUGCAAGUCGAGCGAACAGACGAGGAGCUUGCUCCUCUGACGUUAGCGGCGGACGGGUGAGUAACACGUGGAUAACCUACCUAUAAGACUGGGAUAACUUCGGGAAACCGGAGCUAAUACCGGAUAAUAUAUUGAACCGCAUGGUUCAAUAGUGAAAGACGGUUUUGCUGUCACUUAUAGAUGGAUCCGCGCCGCAUUAGCUAGUUGGUAAGGUAACGGCUUACCAAGGCAACGAUGCGUAGCCGACCUGAGAGGGUGAUCGGCCACACUGGAACUGAGACACGGUCCAGACUCCUACGGGAGGCAGCAGUAAGGAAUCUUCCGCAAUGGGCGAAAGCCUGACGGAGCAACGACGCGUGAGUGAUGAAGGUCUUCGGAUCGUAAAACUCUGUUAUUAGGGAAGAACAAAUGUGUAAGUAACUAUGCACGUCUUGACGGUACCUAAUCAGAAAGCCACGGCUAACUACGUG
rnacentral:rRNA from 1 species